rnacentral:rRNA from 1 species
GAUGAACCUGCGUCCCAUUAGGUAGUUGGUGAGGUAACGGCCCACCAAGCCGACGAUGGGUAGCUGGUCUGAGAGGACGAUCAGCCACACUGGAACUGAGACACGGUCCAGACUCCUACGGGAGGCAGCAGUGAGGAAUAUUGCACGAUGCCCGAAAGGGUGAUGCAGCGACGCCGCGUGGAGGAUGAAGGCCCUAUGGGUCGUAAACUCCUUUUGUGAGGGAAUAACACUCUGCUACAUGCAGGGCUGAAUGUACCUCAGGAAAAAGCAUCGGCUAACUACGUGCCAGCAGCCGCGGUAAUACGUAGGAUGCUAGCGUUGUCCGGAUUUACUGGGUGUAAAGGGAGCGCAGGCGGGAUGAUAAGUCGGUGGUGAAAUUUUCGGGCUUAACCCGAACACCGCCAUCGAUACUGUUGUUCUUGAGUACAGAAGAGGUUGAUGGAAUUCUAGGUGUAGCGGUGAAAUGCGUAGAUAUCUAGAAGAACACCGAUGGCGAAGGCAGUCAACUGGUCUGUUACUGACGCUCAUGCUCGAAAGCGUGGGGAUCAAACAGGAUUAGAU